GGAGAACAAGGGAAUACAGUUCAAGUUUUUGGCAAUCAGGUGCCCACCUGGAGAACAAGGGAAUACAGUUCAAGUUUUUGGCAAACAGGCGCCCACCAGGAGAACAAGGGAAUAUAGUACAAGUUUUUGGCAAUCAGGCGCCCAUCUGGAGAACAAGGGAGUACAGUUCAAGUUUUUGGCAAUCAGGCACCCAUCUGAAGAACAAGGGAGUACAUUUCAAGUUUUUGGCAACCAGGCGCCCACAUGUAGAAUAAGGAAAUAAAGUUCAAGUUUUUGGCAAUCAGGCGCCCACCUGGAGAACAAGGGAAUACAAUUCAAGUUUUUGGCAAUUAGGCGCCCACCUGGAGAACAAGGGAAUACAGUUCAAGUUUUUGGCAAUCAGGCGCCCACUUGGAGAACAAGAGAAUAUAGUACAAGUUUUUGGCAAUCAGGCGCCCACUUGGAGAACAAGGGAAUACAGUUCAAGUUUUUGGCAAUCAGGCGUACACCUGGAGAAUAAGGGAAUACAGUUCAAGAUUUUGGCAAUCAGGCGCCCACUUGGAGAACAAAGGAAUACAGUUCAAGUUUUUGGGAAUCAGGCGCUCACCUAGAGAACAAGGGAAUACAAUUCAAGUUUUUGGCAAUUAGGCGCCCACUUGGAGAACAAGGGAAUACAGUUCAAGUUUUGGCAAUCAAGCGCCCACAAGGAGAACAAGGGAAUACAGUUCAAGCU
rnacentral:lncRNA from 1 species